rnacentral:rRNA from 1 species
GACGAACGCUGGCGGCGUGCCUAAUACAUGCAAGUCGAACGCUGAAGGAGGAGCUUGCUUCUCUGGAUGAGUUGCGAACGGGUGAGUAACGCGUAGGUAACCUGCCUGGUAGCGGGGGAUAACUAUUGGAAACGAUAGCUAAUACCGCAUAACAGUAGAUAUCGCAUGAUAUCUACUUGAAAGGUGCAAUUGCAUCACUACCAGAUGGCCCUGCGUUGUAUUAGCUAGUUGGUGAGGUAACGGCUCACCAAGGCGACGAUACAUAGCCGACCUGAGAGGGUGAUCGGCCACACUGGGGAUGAGACACGGCCCAGACUCCUACGGGAGGCAGCAGGAGGGAAUCUUCGGCAAUGGACGGAAGUCUGACCGAGCAACGCCGCGUGAGUGAAGAAGGUUUUCGGAUCGUAAAGCUCUGUUGUAAGAGAAGAACGAGUGUGAGAGUGGAAAGUUCACACUGUGACGGUAUCUUACCAGAAAGGGACGGCUAACUACGUG